ACGGAAGGCAGCAGUGGGGAAUAUUGGGCAAUGGGCGAAAGCCUGACCCAGCAACGCUGCGUGAAGGAUGACGGUCUUCGGAUUGUAAACUUCUUUAAUUGGGGAAGAAUAAAUGACCUACCCAAGGAAUAAGUCACGGCUAACUACGUGCCAGCAGCCGCGGUAAUACGUAGGUGACAAGCGUUAUCCGGAUUUACUGGGCGUAAAGGGCGUGUAGGCGGUUUGGCAAGUCAGAAGUGAAAUUCCUGAGCUCAACUCGGGCGCUGCUUCUGAAACUGCUAGACUUGAGUGCUGGAGGGGAUAGCGGAAUUCCUAGUGGAGCGGUAAAAUGCGCAGAUAUUAGGAAGAACACCGGUGGCGAAGGCGGCUAUCUGGACAGUAACUGACGCUGAGGCGCGAAAGUGUGGGGAGCAAACAGGAUUAGAUACCCUGGUA
rnacentral:rRNA from 1 species